rnacentral:rRNA from 1 species
AUUGAACGCUGGCGGCAUGCUUUACACAUGCAAGUCGAACGGCAGCACGGACUUCGGUCUGGUGGCGAGUGGCGAACGGGUGAGUAAUACAUCGGAACGUACCCAGUAAUGGGGGAUAACUAUCCGAAAGGAUAGCUAAUACCGCAUACGCCCUACGGGGGAAAGAGGGGGAUCGCAAGACCUCUUGUUAUUGGAGCGGCCGAUGGCUGAUUAGCUAGUUGGUGAGGUAGAGGCUCACCAAGGCGACGAUCAGUAGCGGGUCUUAGAGGACGAUCCGCCACACUGGAACUGAGACACGGUCCAGACUCCUACGGGAGGCAGCAGUGGGGAAUCUUGGACAAUGGGCGCAAGCCUGAUCCAGCAAUGCCGCGUGCGUGAAGAAGGCCUUCGGGUUGUAAAGCGCUUUUGUCAGGGAGCAAAUCCUUGUGGCUAAUACCCACCGGGGAUGAGAGUACCUGAAGAAUAAGGACCGGCUAACUACGUGCCAGCCGCCGCAGUAAGAC